rnacentral:lncRNA from 1 species
ACCCAGUUCCAAGUGCAGCCCGAGACGAGAGUACUGGCAUAGUGGCCGGGCAUCUGCAGGGACUUCUGACAAACGCGGUGGAUGAGUCCAGAAGCUGAGCAGUCAGCUUGCAAAUUGUCCAGGUCCUUCGAUUUCUCUUUCUUGAAGGCAGUGUUGGGGAGGCAGUGGUGUGGGGGAGGCAGUGUGUUUGGGGUGGUUCUGGAGCUCCCCUCUCGCCCGCCUCUAGCCUUUUCUAGCUGGGUGACCUUGGGCAAGUUGCCUUACCAAUCCCAGCCUGUGCGUCUCGUGGGUUUACUGGUGGCAUUUGAGUAACUAUCAGAGGCUUCAUAAGUAUUGGUUGCUCUCUUCUGGUUUUUUUUUUUUUUUUUUUUUUUUGAGAUGGAGUCUCGCUCUGUCACCAAGGCUGGAGUGCAGUGGCAUGAUCUCAGCUCACUGCAAACUCCACCUCUCGGGUUCAAGAGAUUCUCCUGCCUCAGCCUCCCAAGUAGCUAUCAUGCCUGGCUAAUUUUUGUAUUUUUUUAGUAGAGAUGGGUUUCACCAUGUUGGCCAGGUUGUUCUCAAACUCCUGACCUCAGGUGAUCCGCCUGGGCCUCCCCAAAUGCUGGGAUUACAGGCGUGAGCCACCGCGCCUGGCCGGUUGCCUUUCUUCUUUCCCCACUUCUGCUGCCCAAGUUUGGGACAAUUCUGUUUAUUCACACCUGCUCCAAAGGAAGUGAAAUCCAGCUCAUUUCUCCUUCUUAUUGGUAGUAUUGCCCAAGGGCUGGAGGGACCAUGGGAAUGGGCGCUGGAGGCAGUGGUUCAUGCCUAUAAUCCCAGUACUUUGGGAGGUCAAGGUGAGUGGAUUGCUUGAGCCCAGGAGUUCAAGCACAGUAGGCUCUUACUCCGUUACUGAACAAAUAGUGUUCGGGCAAAGCUUCAUGGAUGUGAGAACCUGGUAAUUACACAUCUUUGAUGAAAGUGUGAGAGUUUGCUUUAUGCAUCUAUGAUGAAAGAUGACAUCUUUGGUUCUUGCAUCUGUUCCAACUGGCUUUGCUCUUUUCUUGGCAACAUCAAUAACUUUUAGAUGUUGUGUGACCACAGCUGGUCUUCUUUUCAUCACAUCACCAUGUGUCCUUGCAUUCCUCACAAUAGUUCUUUAUUUCAUUCUGCUCUCCCUCCAUUGCUACCUGCUCUUUCUUCAUAAUUUUUCACUCCUACUUCAUAAAAGCCAUGUCUUCUUAUGUCCUAACGAAGACGCAAAACAGUAGUUUAGAAUUCUCUUCCGGUUCAUGGAGUACAUCACUUUCAGAAACAGGACCUUCCUCUAGACUUCUGAAUGACAUUCCAUUUUCUUUAAUCUGCAGUACUGCAGAGCUUAUCCUGCAAGAAGGAAAAUCUGUUCAGAUCUACUGGCUGCUAAAAGACACAUUGUGACUCUCUUGACUCCACUCACUGUCCAUUUGGACGUUUGUGGAAUCUCAUUCUUAGAUAGACAACUGUAAGAUAGUGUAGUGUGCAGAGCUUGGUGCAAUUUCCAGUGACUACAGAGCACGUAUUCCUUUCAUGUAGCUUUGUAGGAUUGAGGCAAAAUCUUCUCCUACAACUAAUAUCUGUCUAGUUGACACUCUGAAUUAAAAAAAAGUGCAUGUGCGUGCACACGCGCGCGCGCACACACACACACACAUAAACAUCUGGCCGCCAGAAUAUACUGUUCCCAGGGCUUUUCCUGGUUCUGUCAUCGCCCAAAACCUUACUUUUGUUGGAACUAUGCUUCCUCCAACAAUUGACCUAUUGCCAGCCUAUGCCUGACCACCUCCACCACCAUGCACAUAUGUACCCAACUUUCUGCACUUUUGUUUUCUUAGAAUUUAUUUAUUAAAUGGGGACUUGCAAUUUCUAAAUAAAUGCAGAAAGAGGGGAAUUGUUGGUAAGGUCAAGAAGAGGAGAAUGGAGUGCUGCUUUGAAACAC